AUGAAUUGCCUUAGUUGGAACUGCCGGGGAGGGGGGAACACCCGGACAGUACGUGAGCUAGCGAUGUUGUGUAAGUCGCAUUCCCCCAUGUUGGUCUUUUUGUGUGAAACGAGACAAAAGGAAGAGAAGAUGAAACGGAUCCAAGCUAAACUUGGAUUGAAGGGCUUUUGUUGAGUGGAUAGUAAUGGAUUAAGCUGUGGCUUGGCACUAUAUUGGAGGGAAGAAUGUGUUGUUGAUGUUUUGGACAAGGAUGACAGAUUUAUUGACAUUGUUAUCAAAGCCCGAGAAGAUGCACCGGAGUGGAGAGCUACCUUUGUAUAUGGGGAGCCACGGGUGGAAAAUAGACACCUAAUAUGGACUAAGUUACGGAAUCUGAAAGUUGCUAAUAAUUUGCCCUGGCUGGUUAUAGGUGACUUUCAUGAAGCCAUGUGGGAUUUUAAGCAUUUAUCGAUCACGCCGAGGGCGGAAGCACAGAUGAUAGCCUUCAGGAAUACCUUGGAGGUGUGUGAUCUAGUUGAUCUUGGGUUCACGGGCCUUCCUUUCACAUACGAUAAUAGAAGAGCGAGGUCGGCUAACGUCAAAGUGAGAUUGGACCGUGCGGUAGCUACAAAUGAUUGGCGUAAUCUGUUCGCCUUUGCUGCUGUGGAGCACAUACCGUCUCCAUGUUCAGAGCACCUAGUUGUGUUUCUUAAAGGAGGACUGGACCCGGGACCGGUGAAGGAGAAAGCAAUUUUAGUUCUAUAA
rnacentral:rRNA from 1 species